CGGCCCGCGGCGGGGGAAAAGGCCUGGGCGCGCGCCUGCACCGAGCCCCUGAGGUACCUCAGCGAGGCGCGCCCCGAUACUGAUGUUUUGUUGUUUAUUUAUUUAUUUACUUGCUUAUUUAUUUUUUUUUUCUUCUGUUUGUCGCCUUUAUUCGAGGGAGCACGGCAGCCGCGGGAGGGCCGCGGCCAGCGCCGGCCGCCCGGCUCGGGACGGCCCCGGUACCCCGAGGGGAAGCGCCGGGCGCCGCAGCCCCGCGGCGGGUCGCGGGUAACGCCUUGUGCUUGCCCCGGUGUCCGCGGGGCUCCGGGAAGAGGCUGGUGCCGGCCGUCUGUCCCGGUUAAUUUUUAGCAAGCGGCGCGGUGGCAGCAGGGCGUGAAGCCGAGCGGAUUCUUCUUUUACUGCCUUCGUUAAAAAAGAAAAAAAACAAACAAACAAACAAACAAAACAAAAAAAAAAAAAAAAAAAAAAACACCAAAAAACCGUACCGUUCGGGAGCGUACCGGCUCCUCCUAUGAAAUGGCCUUCCUGGAUCAAAAAAAAAAAAAAUCGAGCUCCUGCAUUAGCGCUGGGGAAAUACCAGAUGCCACCCCUGCUUGUAGCAGGGAGCUCUGGCCCUAAAUACAGCCACGCCGCUAACGCAAAAUACUGUGAAAAUACUACUACACGGUAAGGAUCAGGUCUAGCAAAUAAAGCCGAUGCCGUCUUUCCGAUGGAGAGAGACUUCGAUCGAUCAUUUAAGAACAAGCAACAUUUCUAACUAAUCGGGUGUUUUGGAACUUUAUCUUGGAGACGGCACUCUUGGCGACCGGCCGUUGAAAACGACACCUAUUCACCUGGCUUGGAUUUAAGAGCGAACGGCGCCUGCCAGCGGGUAGGGCAGAAGCCGCGGUUCGAGCGCCUGCUGGCUUCAUUCACGUAGGCUGGUUUACCCGGCGAGACUACGUUUUCCAUGAUGCAAUGCAACGCGUCAGCGGGGCGGGGCGCAGGCGGGAGGCGGCUCCGUCAGGGAAUGCCAAGUGUGCCAGGCGUGGGAUCCGAAAAGUGCAAAUAACAUCGCUUGAAACCUGACAUCUACUUUUGGUUUUCGACAAAACCCCCGACUAGAACAAUAGAUUAUUUUCUGAACAGGGGUUUGAAGAGCUUUGCAGAAACUGCAUUUUCCGUUGAAAAUGGACGGGAAAUUGAGUGGACUGCACUGGACUUGCUGACUUCGAUUUUUAAAGAAAGAUCAGCAGAAACCUGAAGAUGGUUUAGAAUAUGCACGUCAUGGCUUUUUUAUAUGCUUGUAAGCUCUUAGACAGUAGCACUGAUUUGAAAUUUCCAAGGUAGGGAUUUUUUUUUGUGUCUAGGUAUAGAGCUUUUCUCGCUUUUUCUGCAGUCACUUGCUCAUACUAAGAAAAUGACUGAUGUUUUUUAACCGAAGAGUUUCAACUGCAGACUACAGACAGGGCCUGAACUAUGUUCUGCACUGCUUAUUUUUUGCACAAGUUGUUUUUUUCUUUGGAAAACAAUGCUUGUGUUGCUGAGUAUAGACCACACAAAACAGUUACUCUUGAGCUGCCAGUUUCAUAAGACCACAGGUUAUCCCUGCAACAGUGAGUGACUGAGCUGUGGAAUACUGCAUCCAUUUGGAGCCGACAACUUUCAAAGUUAAAUACAGCUUACCAACACGUAUCUUGGGUGAUGUUGAUGUACUUUCACAUUUAUUUUAUACCCCAACUUUUCACUAGUCACUACUCGUUGAGGAGUACAUGUGAUGUGUCACUCUUUCCUCAUCCAUCUUUGCAUCAGACAACUGUUCCACGGUACUUAAACUACUCUAGAAAUCUACAGAGCCAAGGCCUUUUCUGCCUCUCACCCCACCCCCCCAGCAAGCAGGGUAGGGGUGCACGAGGAAUUGAGAGGGGACACAGCUGGGACAGCUGACCACAGCGAUAUCCCAUACCAUAUGGUGUCAUGCUCAGCAUAUAAAGCUGGGGCAAGAAGAAGGAAGGUGGGAACAUUCAAAGUGAUGUUUUUUCUCUUCCCAAGCAACAUGUGAUGGAGUCCUGCUCUCCUGGAGAUGGCUGAACACCUGCCUGCUGGUGGGAAGUGCUGAAUGAUUUCCUUACUUUGCUUUGCUUGUGUGCACAGCUUUUGUUUUAACUAUUAAACCAUUUUUAUCUCAACCCAUGAGUUUUCUCAUUUUCACCCUUCUGCUUAUCUCCCCCAUCCCACUGGGGGAGAGGGAGUGAGCAGCUGUGUGGUGCUUCGUUGCCAGCUGGACUUAAACCACAAUACCUAUUUCAUAAUGUGAUACUGUAAAUAAAAUGACUAUCACUAUAUGUUCGAA